UACAGAGGUCUCAAGCGUUGUUCGGAUUCAUUGGGCGUAAAGGGUGCGUAGGCGGCGCGGUAAGUCGGGGGGGAAAUCUCGGAGCUUAACUCCGAAACUGCAUUCGAUACUGCCGUGCUUGAGGACUGGAGAGGAGACUGGAAUUUACGGUGUAGCGGUGAAAUGCGUAGAUAUCGUAAGGAAGACCAGUGGCGAAGGCGGGUCUCUGGACAGUUCCUGACGCUGAGGCACGAAGGUCAGGGGAGCAAACGGG
rnacentral:rRNA from 1 species